AGACUCCGUUUGAUUCGGGGAUAAAGCCGGAAUAACAAAAAUUAUUUCCGCCAUUUCGCCAAACGACAUAUAUUUUGGCCGCAUAAAAUAUUUUGAUUGGGAUAAACUAUUCCACCAUUUUGGUGGAAUAAUGUUAUUCUAAUGCUUAAUUUCAAGAUUUAUUAAUAUUAUAAAUUGAAUUUUUUAAGAAAUAUGCUUUUUUUUGUUAUUAUUGAUUUGGUGCGUGUAGA
rnacentral:lncRNA from 1 species